rnacentral:lncRNA from 1 species
CAGGGCAUAGAAGAGCAGCACAUCCCUUUUCAGGUGACUGCAGGUGACUGCAGGGGAGCCCAAGAAGAAGGAAGAAGGCAGUCCUUGCAGAUCUCUGGAGAAAGAACAGUGUGAACAGAAGCAGCAGAAUGUGUAAAAGCCAGGAUCGGAAUGAACCAGGUGUGCCAGGAGAAUCACUCAUUGGCUGUCCUGGCUGAGGAAGCAUGAACA